AAAACUAGCCAAUCCUUUGGGUAUGAAACUCAUUUGGGCGAGAGUAGUAUUAGGAUGGGUGACCUCCUGGGAAGUCCUCGUGAAAGGGUUUC
rfam:Triticum aestivum genome assembly, contig: Triticum_aestivum_CS42_TGACv1_scaffold_374345_5AL